rnacentral:rRNA from 1 species
GACGAACGCUGGCGGCGUGCUUAACACAUGCAAGUCGAACGGAAAGGCCCUGCUUUUGUGGGGUGCUCGAGUGGCGAACGGGUGAGUAACACGUGAGUAACCUGCCCUUGACUUUGGGAUAACUUCAGGAAACUGGGGCUAAUACCGGAUAGGAGCUCCUGCUGCAUGGUGGGGGUUGGAAAGUUUCGGCGGUUGGGGAUGGACUCGCGGCUUAUCAGCUUGUUGGUGGGGUAGUGGCUUACCAAGGCUUUGACGGGUAGCCGGCCUGAGAGGGUGACCGGCCUCAUUGGGACUGAGAUACGGCGCAGACUCCUACGGGAGGCAGCAGUGGGGAAUAUUGCACAAUGGGCGGAAGCCUGAUGCAGCAACGCCGCGUGCGGGAUGACGGCCUUCGGGUUGUAAACCGCUUUCGCCUGUGACGAAGCGUGAGUGACGGUAAUGGGUAAAGAAGCACCGGCUAACUACGUG